UGGGGAAUUUUCCGCAAUGGGCGAAAGCCUGACGGAGCAAUACCGCGUGAGGGAGGAAGGCUCUUGGGUCGUAAACCUCUUUUGUCAAGGAAGAAGUUCUGACGGUACCUGACGAAUCAGCAUCGGCUAACUCCGUGCCAGCAGCCGCGGUAAUACGGAGGAUGCAAGCGUUAUCCGGAAUUAUUGGGCGUAAAGCGUCCGCAGGUGGCGUAUCAAGUCUGCUGUUAAAGACCGGGGCUAAACUCCGGAAAGGCAGUGGAAACUGAAACGCUAGAGUGCAGGAGGGGUAGAGGGAAUUCCCGGUGUAGCGGUGAAAUGCGUAGAUAUCGGGAAGAACAUCGGUGGCGAAAGCGCUCUACUGGACUGCAACUGACACUCAGGGACGAAAGCUAGGGGAGCGAAUGGGAUUAGAUACCCCAGUAGUC
rnacentral:rRNA from 1 species